UUUACCCACUACUGAUCCUGGGCCAAGCCAAGAGUACUUUUGCAUGUUAGUUCAUAUUUCAGAAUCCUCAUACUGCUCUUUUUCAGAAAAGCCUUAUUUCCGCAUUUUCACAAAAGUGGAGCCCGUGGUUCAGGGAGAUGCAGCAGCUGACUCAAGACUGCGGAGACAGUAGGUCAGAGAUGGACCAGGAUGUGGUCUUCCAGCACUGAUACCAGCCCUGUCUGUCCCAGCCUGAGAGGCGGCCUUCUGCAAUGCUCUCCGUGGAAGCUUCAUCCAGGCUUGGUCUGAGCUCCUCUGGUAUUCCCUGAGAAAGCCUAAUUUCAAAGGUUGUCCAGGUGAGCUAAAAUCUGCCUCCCUGUCACUUUCUCUCUCAGGCCCUCGAAGUCCUAAAUCUAACAUCAAGCAAAAAGGGAAAUUCAGGAAUCUGCCCUUGGCCAUAUCUGUUCUUCAGAGAUGGGGAAAUGGCCCCAGAUGGUCCCUGAUUCUGUCCCAGGACUGGCUGGUGGUGGGGUGUAGUGUCUGCACCCUCCCAAGGAGACUGACCGUCAGAACCCUGUCUCUGUGGGCCUUCUCAGGCUCUCUGACUGCUCCGCGUGGCUCCGGGUGGGAGUUAGGGAAAUCUGGAGGUUAAAGGUGCAACCAAGUGAGCCUGCCAGGCAGGCCCCAGGUAAAAGGGAUGGAUGGGGACUCCAGCCCAGGCCCAGAGAACACCGAGGACGCACCACUGAGUGGGCUGUGACCUGUGGCUGGGGGAGAGCCCUUGGGCCCUAGAGGGCACAUGCUCCCCACACAUCCCAGCUUAGCCCAGGGCCAGGUAGGGGAGGUGCUGAUGCACAAGCAAUAAUGGGCCAGAUGAUAGCUUUCAGAGCUCGUUGAAGGAGGCAGGCAGGGCAAGCUUCAUUUUGGUUUACAGAUAUGGCAAUGGAGGCCCAGAGAACUCAGAUGGCUUUCCAAGGCCACACAGCCCCGAAGGCAGGACCCUGGGCUCCUUUUCAUCUGUCAACUCUAGGAGGAUGGGUCUGGGCACAGCCACGAAGGAGCAGAUGAGACAUCUCGACUCUGUGAGUUCCUCAAAGGAGCUGUGUAAGUGCUACAUGGCAGCCCAGAGGGUUUCAAAACAGCCCCUCCCAAAUGCUGAUCCUGAAAGGGGUUCUUAAAAAUGCACCUUUCCAGCUCCACACCCUAGAUUCUGAUGCUCAAAGCCUGGGUGGUAACGAAGUGAUUCUGAUGAUGGGCCAGUUCUGGCAUUACUAUACUCACUGAUCCUCAGACCUGGAGGCAACCUAAGAGAGCCCAUCUGAUACAGAACUCAGAAGUGAAGUCUUUUGGGGCCAAGACGGUGGAGUAGAAAGACACUGCACUCAUAUCCUCUCAUAAGCACAGCAAAAUCUCAACUAAGCUGCAAAACAGUCAUCAGUGGAAAAGACCGGUACCUAUCAGAAAAGAUCUACAGCUAAAGACAUAAGGA
ensembl:lncRNA